rnacentral:rRNA from 1 species
AUUCCAGCUCCAAUAGCGUAUACUAAAGUUGUUGCGAUUAAAAAGCUCGUAGUUGGAUCUCAGGCAUGGGCGCACGGUCCGCCUCGCGGCGGUCACUGUGUGAAUUGUUUUCCCAUCCUACGCUUCCCGGUUGUUCAGCCCAUGGUGCUCUUCAUUGAGCGUUUUGGGUGGCCGGAACGUUUACUUUGAAGAAAUUAGAGUGUUCAAAGCAGGCACAUCGCCUGAAUAAUGGUGCAUGGAAUGAUGGAAUAGGACCUCGGUUCUAUUUUGCUGGUUUUCGGAACACGAGGUAAUGAUUAAGAGGGACAGACGGGGGCAUCCGCAUUGCGGCGUUAGAGGUGAAAUUCUUGGAUCAUCGCAAGACGAACAACUGCGAAAGCAUUUGCCAAGCAUGUUUUCAUUG